rnacentral:lncRNA from 1 species
GUCGCGUUCACCAGAAUAAUCCGAGUGCAAUCCGAUUAAUUUGCGCUGAAACGCUGACAGUUUUUUUACUAGUGAACGACUGACGUUUGACAUUCGAUUGAGAGUGUUCUGUGUUCCAUUUGUUUAUGUUUUUAUUCUUUGUUUAUAUAAUUUAUAACCUAAACCUAGACAGUUUUGUUUUUAUUUUAAAUAAAACUGAAACUGUCUAAACUAAAAUGGAUAAUAUUCUUGAAGAACUUUUGUUUGGGGACGAAAUUAGCAAAUGCCGUUAUACAUUUAGCAGAUGUACCUACCUCAAAUUAUUCCAGAAGGAUGAGAUGAAAUUAAAUAUAUAUAAACCAUAAUUCAAUAUCCAAUUUAGAGAACAUUUUCGUAUGUCCAGAACUACUUUCCAGGAACUAUUUAAUUGUAUUGGUCAUAUCCACCAAUUUGAAAACAGAAUAAUUCUAUUGGAAAAAAUUAAUGUUUAUGAUGUGGAUGCUAAGUAAACCAGAUAAUUUGUUGCUGGGGAUACGUUUGGUUUGCCAAAGAGCUCUGGACAUAAGAUUUUCACCCAAAUAAUAUAGAAUUACAAAAAAUUGGAAAUAACUAAUCUUGAAUAUCAAUGUGUAUAUUGAGUUUAAUUUUAUUGUAAAUAUUCUAUAAUAUAAUUUUAUUGUAAAUAUUAUAUUAACACAUUUGUGGACACAUUUUCAUAUGCAGACAGUAAUUUCCCUUUGUAAGUACAUGCAUAUAUAGUCGUAUCUGCGAAUGGGUUAAUUGUAAAUCGUAAUCAAUAAAAAUUUUUUGUGAAUCAAUAAAAAACUGGUUUGUUUGAAAAUAAAUGUAGUACAAAUGUG